UACGGGGGGGGCAAGCGUUGUUCGGAAUUACUGGGCGUAAAGGGCUCGUAGGCGGCCAACUAAGUCAGACGUGAAAUCCCUCGGCUUAACCGGGGAACUGCAUCUGAUACUGGAUGGCUCGAGUUUGGGAGAGGGAUGCGGAAUUCCAGGUGUAGCGGUGAAAUGCGUAGAUAUCGGGAAGAACACCAGUGGCGAAGGCGGCUGCCUGGCCUGUAACUGACGCUGAGACGCGAAAGCGUGGGGAGCGAACCGG
rnacentral:rRNA from 1 species